rnacentral:rRNA from 1 species
ACGAACGCUGGCGGCGUGCUUAACACCUGCAAGUCGAACGGAAAGGCCCUGCUUUUGUGGGGUGCUCGAGUGGCGAACGGGUGAGUAACACGUGAGUAACCUGCCCUUGACUUUGGGAUAACUUCAGGAAACUGGGGCUAAUACCGGAUAGGAGCUCCUGCUGCAUGGUGGGGGUUGGAAAGUUUCGGCGGUUGGGGAUGGACUCGCGGCUUAUCAGCUUGUUGGUGGGGUAGUGGCUUACCAAGGCUUUGACGGGUAGCCGGCCUGAGAGGGUGACCGGCCACAUUGGGACUGAGAUGCGGCCCAGACUCCUACGGGAGGCAGCAGUGGGGAAUAUUGCACAAUGGGCGGAAGCCUGAUGCAGCAACGCCGCGUGCGGGAUGACGGCCUUCGGGUUGUAAACCGCUUUCGCCUGUGACGAAGCGUGAGUGACGGUAAUGGGUAAAGAAGCACCGGCUAACUACGUG